AGGACGAACGCUGGCGGCAUGCCUAAUACAUGCAAGUCGAACGAAAUCCAUUCAGUGGCAACACUGAUGAAGAUUUAGUGGCGAACGGGUGCGUAACACGUGAGCAACCUGCCCCGGAGACCGGGAUAACAGUGGGAAACCGCUGCUAAUACCGGAUGUCCCCACGAUCUCGCAUGGGAUUGUGAGGAAAAGGAUUCCGCUCCGGGAGGGCUCGCGGCCUAUCAGCUUGUUGGGGGGUGACGGCCCACCAAGGCGACG
rnacentral:rRNA from 1 species